GAUGAACGCUGGCGGCGUGCCUAAUACAUGCAAGUCGAGCGAACAGACGCGGAGCUUGCUCCUCUGACGUUAGCGGCGGACGGGUGGGUAACACGUGGAUAACCUACCUAUAAGACUGGGAUAACUUCGGGAAACCGGCGCUAAUACCGGAUAAUAUAUUGAACCGCAUGGUUCAAUAGUGAAAGACGGUUUUGCUGUCACUUAUAGAUGGAUCGGCGCCGCAUUAGCUAGUUGGUAAGGUAACGGCUUACCAAGGCAACGAUGCGUAGCCGACCUGAGAGGGGGAUCGGCCACACGGGAACUGAGACACGGUCCAGACUCCUACGGGAGGCAGCAGUAGGGAAUCUUCCGCAAUGGGCGAAAGCCUGACGGAGCAACGCCGCGUGAGUGAUGAAGGUCUUCGGAUCGUAAAACUCUGUUAUUAGGGAAGAACAAAUGUGUAAGUAACUAUGCACGUCUUGACGGUACCUAAUCAGAAAGCCACGGCUAACUACGUG
rnacentral:rRNA from 1 species